AUGGCGUCGCCGCCGCCGUCGCCGGCGAAGAAACCCUCGCAGCUCCACCCAACCACGAUAACCACCCUCGACGACGACACCCUGCGCGAGAUCUUCCUCCGCCUCCCCUCCCUCCCGAGCCUCGUCCGCGCCGCCCUCAGCUGCCGCGCCUUCCUCGACGCCGUCCGUUCGCCCCACGCUUUCCGCCGCCAGUUCCGCGCGCUCCACCCACCCCCGCUCCUGGGCCUCUUUCUUGGCAUCCAAGACACCGUAAGUCCUACCUUCGUGCCUCUCCUCCACCGCUCCGAUCCGGACACCGCGGCCGCCGUCCGCGGCGCCGAUUUCUUCCUCACCCACCUCCCCGUCUCCGAGGAUGAAGACGACGAGGAUGCCGUCUUUGAGUGGUCAAUCGGCGCCUGCCGCGACGGGUUCGUUGUUCUCGACAACUGGAGCACCCGGCAGGUGGCCGUCUACAACCCGCUCAGGCGGACCAUGGACCUCUUUCCCCUGCCGCCCCACGGGGACGACUGCGAGGGCUUGCAUUUUGAUUACCACAUCCUUGCCGCAGAAGAAGACUACCGGUCACCGUACCGUGUCGUCUGCGUAUGGCAUGGCGAACGCGGGGCGCGUGCUGACGUCUUAUCAUCGGACACCAAGAAGUGGCAGGUCUUCCCAUGGACAGACAUCGACGGGCUCUGGCCUCAGCGUGGUAAGCUGGUGAAUGGUCGCAUCUAUUGGACCAUUGGAAUGCCAACAGAUGCCCGUGUGCUUAACACAGCUACGAUGCAAUUCUCUCGGAUGGAUAUGCCGCCGAGCAGCAGAGUUAAUGAAAUGUUGACGGCCGGCGAGACCAAGGAUGGAAGGCUUUGUGUGGUCUUCGCACCUAAUGUAGAACUGAAUUCCAAAUCCGCGCUCGUUGUUUGGACAUGGAGAGCCGAUGAUGACAAUGGUGUCGAGAGAUGGAUGCAGGACAGGUCGCUUCCGUUGCAGGAGAUACUUGGGAUUGUUCGGUGUGAUUUCAGAGAUGAUGUUAAAAGAAUUGAAGUGAGUGUCAAGGCGAUCAUCGGUGGCUUUGUGUACUUGUCUGCUUAUUGUGGGAGGUGGCAGCAUCAUCAUUCAACUCGCUGGCUACUAUCCUUCUGCAUGGAAACAGCGGUGCUGAACAACCUUGGUCGUAUCAUUCAUGGGGCUUCCUAUCCCUACAUCAUGCCAUGGCCUCGUUCUUUGGUUGGUACACAGCACAGUAAGGUGAGCACUCAAGGUUGCUUGACUAGGAGGAUUUAA
rnacentral:rRNA from 1 species